rnacentral:rRNA from 1 species
UUUCAUUGAGACUUCGGUGGAUUUGAUCUAUUUCUAGUGGCGGACGGGUGAGUAACGCGUGGGUAACCUGCCUUAUACAGGGGGAUAACAGUCAGAAAUGGCUGCUAAUACCGCAUAAGCGCACAGAGCUGCAUGGCUCAGUGUGAAAAACUCCGGUGGUAUAAGAUGGACCCGCGUUGGAUUAGCUUGUUGGUGGGGUAACGGCCCACCAAGGCGACGAUCCAUAGCCGGCCUGAGAGGGUGAACGGCCACAUUGGGACUGAGACACGGCCCAGACUCCUACGGGAGGCAGCAGUGGGGAAUAUUGCACAAUGGGGGAAACCCUGAUGCAGCGACGCCGCGUGAAGGAAGAAGUAUCUCGGUAUGUAAACUUCUAUCAGCAGGGAAGAUAGUGACGGUACCUGACUAAGAAGCCCCGGCUAACUACGUGCCAGCAGCCGCGGUAAUACGUAGGGGGCAAGCGUUAUCCGGAUUUACUGGGUGUAAAGGGAGCGUAGACGGUGUGGCAAGUCUGAUGUGAAAGGCAUGGGCUCAACCUGUGGACUGCAUUGGAAACUGUCAUACUUGAGUGCCGGAGGGGUAAGCGGAAUUCCUAGUGUAGCGGUGAAAUGCGUAGAUAUUAGGAGGAACACCAGUGGCGA